rnacentral:rRNA from 1 species
UACGUAGGGUGCAAGCGUUGUCCGGAAUUAUUGGGCGUAAAGAGCUCGUAGGCGGUCUGUCGCGUCGGAUGUGAAACCCAGGGCUCAACCCUGGGCCUGCAUUCGAUACGGGCAGACUAGAGUUCGGUAGGGGAGACGUGGAAUUCCUGGUGUAGCGGUGAAAUGCGCAGAUAUCAGGAGGAACACCGGUGGCGAAGGCGGGUCUCUGGGCCGAUACUGACGCUGAGGAGCGAAAGCGUGGGGAGCGAACAGG